UACGGAGGAUGCAAGCGUUAUCCGGAAUGAUUGGGCGUAAAGGGUCCGCAGGUUGCAAUGUAAGUCUGCUGUUAAAGAGUGAGGCUCAACCUCAUAAGAGCAGUGGAAACUACAUAGCUAGAGUACGUUCGGGGCAGAGGGAAUUCCUGGUGUAGCGGUGAAAUGCGUAGAUAUCAGGAAGAACACCGGUGGCGAAAGCGCUCUGCUAGGCCGUAACUGACACUGAGGGACGAAAGCGUGGGGAGCGAACAGG
rnacentral:rRNA from 1 species